rnacentral:misc_RNA from 1 species
CAGAAAUCGCGCGUGAGGCGAAGGCAAUUGGAGCGAGAAGGCAGCCGUCUGAGACUGAGAGGCAAGUAUUUGAAUUCCUUGUAGAAACCAAUGGCAACAGAGUAGUCAAUUUACUUGUAUCUAUUGUCGCUGGGUGAUUCAGAACCAAAAUAAUAAUAAUAAUGUCAAAGCUAGGCGAUGAUGAAGUAGCCUCAAUUCUCAAUUGGGUCUAUGAUAAAGAAGACAGAAAAUCAUCAUCUCAAGUUUGCAAGCAGUGGCUGAGAGUCGAAGGCCAAACCCGCUUAUCCAUUCGGGUUCUCGAACCUGAUCUCCUCUGCAAUUUCUUGCCCAGAUUCCCCAACUUACUCACAUUUGAAUCACCGAAACUUAUCACCGAUGCCCACCUCGAUUUCAUUGCCCAAACAUGCCCUAAACUCGAGUUCCUCAAUCUCAAUCUCAAACAAUCCCGUUCAACUGUAAAUUUUGAUGGGUUUGAUGAGUCAGCAGAUUCUGAUGAUUUUGGUAAUGAUGGUAUUUGUGCUAUAGCAAACGGGUGUCGCAAAUUAACCAAAGUCUUGUUAAGAAGGAGAAAGAAUGUGGACAAUCUUGGGGUUAUUGAUCUUGUACAUCGUGCACAGAGUUUGACAACUUUGGAUUUGGGGAGAUGUGGUUUGAUCGAUGAUAGUUCCCUCGAAGCAAUUGGGCGUAUGAACUCUAUUCGGGUUUUGAAUUUGGAAGCUUGUUCAUUAAUUACAGAUCGCGGAUUGGAAUUUUUGGCAAUUGGGUCUUCUUCAAGGACCUUGAAAAAGUUGGUUCUUGCAGAAUGUGAUAGAGUCACGGAUUUUGGUGUGACACUUUUGCAGCGAAUGCAUUGCUUGGAGGAGUUGAAUUUAGCUGAAUGUGGGCCUAAACUGACAGAUUAUACAGGCUUCGCAAUUGCCUCGAUUCCAAGUCUUAAGAGAUUGAAUGUUUCGUGGUUGAUCAAUCUAUCAGAUUUGGCACUAGUUGCAAUAGCUGAGAACUGUACGAAUUUGAUUGCACUAGAUUUAACUGGGUGUGAGAUGAUUACAGGAGCUGGGGUCUCUGCUUUGGCUGAUCAUAAAUGUCUGGAAGAAUUAGUGUUAGCUUCUUGUUACAAUAUUUGCGGGAAUGCGGUGGAUAGUGUGCUGAAAUGUGAGUCAUUAAGUUACAUUGUGCUUGAUAAAGGAUUGAGAAUGUGGUUACCAGACAGAGUCCUCCAGAAGAUUGGCAAAUCUUGUCAUUGGAGAUGAUAGAUGACCAAAAGGCCGAAAAGUUUACUUGAGUCUCAUCAACAGGUUAUGGACUAUGAAGAACCAUGCGCAAAGUUCGAGCUACUUCAAGAAAAGAAGUGAAGCUGAAAGGGCAAUAAAUUUUUUUCUCCACAUGCAUUCAGAUGACUUCCUGCUAAAAUAAUUUUGGGGAGCAAAUAUAGUUAAAAUGAAUUCUCUAGUUUGGUCAAUCAUUUUCUUUAAUUUGGAUCUAUUUUAGGACAAAGGAGUUAACCUAGCGCUGGUCUCAGAAUGACCUAUGAACAAUUUGCUUACCAAAAUUCAGCUUGUGAUGUUUACUAAAAUAAUUAUUUUUCUUAUGCAGGCUUAGUAUAUUACAUCAUUUGUAGAUUAUAUCAAUC